rnacentral:rRNA from 1 species
AGUGAACGCUGGCGGCAGGCCUAACACAUGCAAGUCGAGCGGCAGCGCGGGGGCAACCCUGGCGGCGAGCGGCGGACGGGUGAGGAAUUCGUCGGAAUCUGCCUUUUUGUGGGGGAUAACGUAGGGAAACUUACGCUAAUACCGCAUACGUCCUACGGGAGAAAGUGGGGGACCGCAAGGCCUCACGCAGAAAGAUGAGCCGACGACCGAUUAGCUAGUUGGUGGGGUAAAGGCCCACCAAGGCGACGAUCGGUAGCUGGUCUGAGAGGAUGAUCAGCCACACUGGGACUGAGACACGGCCCAGACUCCUACGGGAGGCAGCAGUGGGGAAUAUUGGACAAUGGGCGCAAGCCUGAUCCAGCCAUGCCGCGUGUGUGAAGAAGGCCUUCGGGUUGUAAAGCACUUUUGUCCGGAAAGAAGUCCCUGGAGCUAAUACCUUCGGGGGAUGACGGUACCGGAAGAAUAAGCACCGGCUAACUUCGUG